AACGAACGCUGGCGGCAGGCCUAACACAUGCAAGUCGAGCGCGCCCUUCGGGGUGAGCGGCGGACGGGUGAGUAACUCGUGGUAACGUUCCCUUUUCUACGGAAUAGCCUCGGGAAACUGAGAGUAAUACCGUAUACGCCCUUUGGGGGAAAGAUUUAUCGGAAAAGGAUCGGCCCGCGUUGGAUUAGGUAGUUGGUGGGGUAAUGGCCUAUCAAGCCGAAGAUCCAUAGCUGGUUUGAGAGGAUUAUCAGCCACACUGGGACUGAGACACGGCCCAUACUCAUACGGGAGGCAGCAGUGGGGAAUCUUAGAAAAGGGGGGCAACACUGAAUAAGCCAUGCCGCGUGAGUGAUGAAGGCCUUAGGGUGGUAAAGCACCUUCAGCUGGGAAGAUAAUGACGGUACCAGCAGAAGAAGCCCCGGCUAACUCCGUG
rnacentral:rRNA from 1 species